CAUGGAAUGCCUGACCAAAGGAUUAUUUUGAUAGAAUAAAUAACACAGUUUACUGUCUCCAUGA
rnacentral:tRNA from 1 species